AGCAGCCGCGGUAAUUCCAGCUCCAAUAGCGUAUAUUAAAGUUGUUGCAGUUAAAAAGCUCGUAGUUGAACUUCGGGAUCAAUGAAUCGGUCAUGCUUUCGUAUGUACUGGUUUUAUUGGUUCUCACCUUCUAAGGAACCAUAAAUGUCAUUCAUUUGAUGUUAUGGGGAAUUAGGACUGUUACCUUGAAAAAAUUAGAGUGUUUAAAGCAGGCUAACGCUUGAAUACAUUAGCAUGGAAUAAUGAAAUAGGACAUCGCAUUCUAUUUUGUUGGUUUCUAGGAUCGAUGUAAUGAUUAAUAGGGAUAGUUGGGGGCAUUAGUAUUCAAUUAUCAGAGGUGAAAUUCUUGGAUUUAUUGAAGACUAACUACUGCGAAAGCAUUUGUCCAAGGAUGUUUUCAUUAAUCAAGAACGAAAGUUAGGGGAUCGAAGACGAUCAGAUACCGUCGUA
rnacentral:rRNA from 1 species